GUGAGGCUGCUUGUUGGAGUAGUAGAAGUGUAGAAUACCCCACUAAUCCAGCGGCCGGCGGUUGCAACUUGUGCAGUAACCAAAGGCGCCAUCUUUCAUCUGGUCCAACCCACCGAAUCCGCUCUCACGAAGUCAAAAACUGCUCCGCUAUCUCAUCUGCUUCGAUCAAACACGCCGGUUGAUGUCAACGCUCCUUGGUACCGGCACACAAUUCUUAGCCCAGCUCCAUCCAUCGAAGGUCGAGCAUGGACACAGAAGAGGGAGAUACAAAGAGAGAUCAGAUCAUGGGCAACGCUGCGCUGGCCUCCGUCAGGCUCUCCGGACUUCCGGAGAACCGGGCGCCGGUGACCGCCGGAGCACGGCGAGGGUGAGAUCCGGUGGUCGUAACGUAACCCGGCGCCCGGCGGCGUUACCUUCCUACGGCCGCGCCGUCGAUGAGGGCCCGGUCACCAGUUUCUUGCAGGUUAAAAGGGGCACUGCCAUACAAAACGGAAAACAAGAGCAAGAACAUCAGAGGUAAUUCCAUAAUCAUCAUCUAUUUGGUUUCUAUGUUCGAAGCUACAUAUACAUAUCUUUAAAUUAAAAUUUUAUCUUAGGGACCAACUUGUUGCAUUUACAUUUGGUCCUUGAUAUUUGUAACAUUUUCCUGCUUUGGUAUAAGCAAUUAUGUAUGUCA